rnacentral:rRNA from 1 species
GACGAACGCUGGCGGCGUGCCUAAUACAUGCAAGUCGAGCGCAGGAAGUCAUCCGAACCCUUCGGGGGGACGUUGACGGAAUGAGCGGCGGACGGGUGAGUAACACGUAAAGAACCUGCCCUCAGGUCUGGGAUAACCACGAGAAAUCGGGGCUAAUACCGGAUGGGUCAUCGGACCGCAUGGUCCGAGGAUGAAAGGCGCUCCGGCGUCGCCUGGGGAUGGCUUUGCGGUGCAUUAGCUAGUUGGUGGGGUAAUGGCCCACCAAGGCGACGAUGCAUAGCGCGCAGGAGAGGGGGAGGGGCCACACUGGAACGGAGACACGGCCCAGACCCCUACGGGAGGCAGCAGUAGGGAAUCUCCCACAAUGGCCGAAAGUCGGAUGGAGCAACGCCGCGUGAAGGAGGAAGGCCUUCGGAUCGUAAAGUUUUGUUAAGGGGGAAGAAGAGGAGCCACGGGAAAUGGGGCCACUUUGACGUUACCUUGAGAAAAAGCAACGGCUAACUCCGUG